UUUUAAAUUUUGUCAAUAUUUUUUAAUAUUUGUAACGCCUUUGGACCUAACACAGUAUAUACAGUAAAUUUAACGAUACGUGGUUACAAUCUAGAAUUCAUUAAAAGUUAUCUCUACUUUUGAUACAUCGGCCAAUCACAAUUUAGAAUUUGGAAAACAUCAGAAGAGACUGCGCCAGCAUAAGAAGUUAUCCCGAUGAAUACUUUCUAUUGUCGCUCGUUUUUUCAGAUGCGUGUUGCUAAUCAUCAUCAAAAAGUAUAGCACCAUAUAGUAUAGAAGAGUUUCGUGAUUCUAGUUAUUAAAAAUAAAAAUUAUUUAUUUGAAGUGUGGAAUUUAAAGUCGGUAGUUAUUUCUCAGAAUCAAGUAAAUUCAAUUUAAAAUUAAUUAAACAAUAAAUAAAAUUUAAGCAAGAAUUCCAAAUUUACGUGCAUCGAAAAAAAAAAAGAAGUAAAAAAGUUAUUGAACAUCCUGAGCUAAUAAAAGGGGAAUUUAAUAUGAUGGAUGAUGAAGAAAUGAUUCCUAGGUUUGGAAUUCCUCGAUCCAAAGUUCACAACAUUUUGCACCAUGGUAGCCACCAACCUUUUGAUGUACCGUCUAACGAGAAAUCAUGGUUAUUAAUAAGAGUAGGUCUUAUAUUAUUCGUUUUACCUGCAUUUGUAUUUUUACUUUAUUUAUACUUUGCAGAUCCUUUUGG